GGAUGUGAGGGCGAUCUGGCUGCAACAUCUCUCACCCCACUGAUUGCCAAAGUUGAUUCGGCUGAUCUGGCUGGCUAGGCAGGUGUCACCUUCUUCCCUCACUGCUCCAUGUGUGUCCCUCCUGAAGCUGUGUGUUUGGUCAAAGAGGACAGACUUCCCCAAAUAGAGAUCAACUGCUGCACUCCCCUGCUAGAACCUCCAAACAAGCUCUCAAAGUGUACUCUCUCUCUCUCUCUGUCUCUCAGGAGAGACAUUUGCAACACUAUUCCACCUCUUGUGAAGUCUCUCCCUUGCAGUUGGGGGCUGGGAGCUUGAGCUCAGGU
rnacentral:snRNA from 1 species